UGCCCUAUGGCCUAGUGGUUAAAGUAGCCAGAUUCCACAUGGCCAACUGGGGUUCAAAUUCCCUGUGGCAU
rnacentral:tRNA from 1 species